GUCGCAAGACGUAAGCGAUGGAUAACAGGUUUAGAUUCCUGUACCACGCAUUAUCAGAACUGUAGGGACGCAUGUGGAAAGCACGAGCCGGGAAUGGAAAGACCGGUGCAAGCGAGGUAGGAGUACAUCAGGCAAAUCCGGUGUGCAAUCCGAAGACGUGAUGCGGAUCGAAAAGAAGUAGAGAAGUGUGUGAGCUGGCUGCCAAGAAAAGCCGCUAUCGUUCAUAUGAUACCCGUACCGUAAACCGACACAGGUGGAUGAGGAGAGAAUCCUAAGGCCGGCGGGAGAAGCAUUGUUAAGGAACUCGGCAAAAUGACCCCGUAACUUCGGGAGAAGGGGUGCCUGCGAGAGCAGGCCGCAGAGAAUAGGCUCAAGCAACUGUUUAGCAAAAACACAGGUCUAUGCGAAACCGAAAGGUGAGGUAUAUGGGCUGACGCCUGCCCGGUGCUGGAAGGUUAAGAGGAGAGGUUAGCGCAAGCGAAGCUUUGAAUUUAAGCCCCAGUAAACGGCGGCCGUAACUAUAACGGUCCUAAGGUAGCGAAAUUCCUUGUCGGGUAAGUUCCGACCCGCACGAAAGGCGUAAUGAUUUGAGCGCUGUCUCGACAAUGCACCCGGUGAAAUUGAAAUACCAGUGAAGAUGCUGGUUACCUGCGCCAGGACGGAAAGACCCCAUGGAGCUUUACUCCAGCUUGAUACUGGGAUUCGGUAUUGCAUGUACAGGAUAGGUGGGAGGCUAAGAAGUGGUGACGCCAGUUGCCAUGGAGCCAAUGUUGGGAUACCACCCUUGCAGUACUGGGUUUCUAACCAGCAGCCGUGACCCGGCUGGGGGACAAUGUCAGGCGGGGAGUUUGACUGGGGCGGUCGCCUCCGAAAGGGUAUCGGAGGCGCUCAAAGGUUCCCUCAGAAUGGUUGGAAACCAUUCGAAGAGUGCAAAGGCAGAAGGGAGCUUGACUGCGACACCGACGGGUGGAGCAGGUACGAAAGUAGGACUUAGUGAUCCGGUGGUAUAAAGUGGGAUUGCCAUCGCUCAACGGAUAAAAGCUACCCUGGGGAUAACAGGCUUAUCACUCCCAAGAGUUCACAUCGACGGAGUGGUUUGGCACCUCGAUGUCGGCUCAUCGCAUCCUGGGGCUGUAGUAGGUCCCAAGGGUUGGGCUGUUCGCCCAUUAAAGCGGUACGCGAGCUGGGUU
rnacentral:rRNA from 1 species